rnacentral:lncRNA from 1 species
GAAAGUGCAACAUCCAUGUAGAGGGUCAAUAUUGAUACAAGCAAUGAAAACCUAGCCAUGCGCUUCAUGUGAAUGCUGUUCCCCCCAAUCACUUAGUCAAAUCCAAACUUACUUUUUGUCCUCCACAAUUUCUAUGUACUAUUCUUUGCUGCACGAUAUAAAUUUCAUAAAUCGAAUCGAUCAUACAUAUCUGCCUUCUCUCUCAUGGAAAUUGCAAAGUCUCCCAAUUUGCAAUGCUGGUAGGUCACGAUAGGCCCAUAGAGGUGCUUAGACUGGGCUUGGGCCUCAAUGUUCCACUACGAGUUUGGUCCCAACCGACACCCUCCCAGGAAUCAUAUCUUCAAAGUGUAAAUAUAUUUUAAGGAUUAGGUGGCAAGCAGAAAAUAAAUAAUGAAUAAACAAAAAGUUGUGCCGACUUUUCCAGACUGAUUGAACUUGUCCCCAAAGUAUUCAAUUAUGAUUCUUUUUUCAAGAAAAUAAAAAAAUUCAAUUCCUUUCGCUGUCUUCUCGUGUAAAUUUAUCUAUUUAUUUAAUUCAUAUUAUGCGCAGGCAAAAAAGUAAUAAUGCACAAAAAAAAGAACAGAAAAAGAUUGCAACCGUUCAAUACAAACAAGCAAAAGUGUAGAGGAUCCGGUCCAUGUGGAUAAGGCAGUUUAGGAUAACCUGAAUGCUGUGUCGUUUAUUACAAUUUAGAUGUCGCACCCAGAAGUCAAUCGCUCGAUUCGCACCUUAAAAGGGAAAACCAGGCCCCUCGCCACAUGUCUUAAACCUAAGUCAAUCCGACAACACAUAGUAACC